GCGCUGGUAUAGUGGUUUGAACAUUGGACUAUGACUCUGAAAACCAGGGUUCAAAUCCCUGCUCA